rnacentral:rRNA from 1 species
GACGUAGGGGGCGAGCGUUGUCCGGAUUUAUUGGGCGUAAAGCGUGCGUAGGCGGUUUGUCGCGUCGGGAGUGAAAUCCACUGGCUUAACUGGUGGCUUGCUUUCGAUACGGGCAGACUGGAGGUAUGCAGGGGAGAACGGAAUUCCUGGUGUAGCGGUGAAAUGCGUAGAUAUCGCUUGGAACGCCGAAGGUGAAAACAGGUCGCUGGGGAUGUGCCGACGCUGAGACACGAAAGCCAGGGGAGCAAACGGG